GGAGAGGUGACCGAGAGGCCGAUGGUGCUCGCCUGGAAAGCGGGUGUAGUGAAAGCUACCGGGGGUUCGAAUCCCCCCCUCUCCGCCA
rnacentral:tRNA from 4 species